UGACUAUACUCUCGACUUGAUAGGGAAUGCUGGAUUAUACAACUGGCCGUCCUGGGAUUAAACAUUGACUCCAGGACAAGGGUUAAACAUUGACUUAGCUGAAGACCUACGGUUGGGGGCAGAGCUGGUGGUAAACAGCACUUCAUCUGUUCAGUCUUCUGCCAUUCACCUUGCAAAGCAACAAUCACAGGCGCCAUCCCCUGCCAGAUGUGAAGGACUGGAAGGUGUCUCCUCGCCCCUAAUGAAAACCUGUCUUCACUAGCUGACUCUGUCUGCUGCAUCUGAGACUUUCCCCUGCCUUUUAAUUCUUUAACUGGCAGAGAAAAGGGAACCUGAACAAAACUCCAGGCCAGGAACAGAUGGGCAGAGUAAAGUGAGGACGGGAUGUAUACGGUUUGAGGAAAUCCUUCUCCAGCACAUCCACAAUUUUAGAGCAUCAAGCUAAGACAAGCCAAGGUUGGAUCUGUGAGGGCUUGACCAUCUAUGAUCCGCUGGGUCAACCAAGGGGGCAAGUGGAAAACCCUGCUAU